UAUUGGACAAUGGGGGCAACCCUGAUCCAGCCAUGCCGCGUGAGUGGAGAAGGCCCUCGGGUUGUAAAGCUCUUUUGUCCGGAAAGAAAAGCAUUCGGUGAAUACCCGGAUGUUCUGACGGUACCGGACGAAUAAGCACCGGCUAACUUCGUGCCAGCAGCCGCGGUAAUACGAAGGGUGCAAGCGUUACUCGGAAUUACUGGGCGUAAAGCGUGCGUAGGUGGUUGUUUAAGUCUGAUGUGAAAGCCCUGGGCUCAACCCGGGAAUGGCAUUGGAAACGGGGCAGCUAGAGGGCGGUAGAGGGUAGUGGAAUUCCCGGUGUAGCAGUGAAAUGCGUAGAGAUCGGGAGGAACAUCUGUGGCGAAGGCGACUGCCUGGACCAGCACUGACACUGAGGCACGAAAGCGU
rnacentral:rRNA from 1 species